rnacentral:rRNA from 1 species
GUUAAGCGACUAAGCGUACACGGUGGAUGCCCUGGCAGUCAGAGGCGAUGAAGGACGUGCUAAUCUGCGAUAAGCGUCGGUAAGGUGAUAUGAACCGUUAUAACCGGCGAUUUCCGAAUGGGGAAACCCAGUGUGAUUCGUCACACUAUCAUUAACUGAAUCCAUAGGUUAAUGAGGCGAACCGGGGGAACUGAAACAUCUAAGUACCCCGAGGAAAAGAAAUCAACCGAGAUUCCCCCAGUAGCGGCGAGCGAACGGGGAGCAGCCCAGAGCCUGAAUCAGUGUGUGUGUUAGUGGAAGCGUCUGGAAAGGCGCGCGAUACAGGGUGACAGCCCCGUACACAAAAAUGCACAUACUGUGAGCUCGAUGAGUAGGGCGGGACACGUGGUAUCCUGUCUGAAUAUGGGGGGACCAUCCUCCAAGGCUAAAUACUCCUGACUGACCGAUAGUGAACCAGUACCGUGAGGGAAAGGCGAAAAGAACCCCGGCGAGGGGAGUGAAAAAGAACCUGAAACCGUGUACGUACAAGCAGUGGGAGCACGCUUAGGCGUGUGACUGCGUACCUUUUGUAUAAUGGGUCAGCGACUUAUAUUCUGUAGCAAGGUUAACCGAAUAGGGGAGCCGAAGGGAAACCGAGUCUUAACUGGGCGUUAAGUUGCAGGGUAUAGACCCGAAACCCGGUGAUCUAGCCAUGGGCAGGUUGAAGGUUGGGUAACACUAACUGGAGGACCGAACCGACUAAUGUUGAAAAAUUAGCGGAUGACUUGUGGCUGGGGGUGAAAGGCCAAUCAAACCGGGAGAUAGCUGGUUCUCCCCGAAAGCUAUUUAGGUAGCGCCUCGUGAAUUCAUCUCCGGGGGUAGAGCACUGUUUCGGCAAGGGGGUCAUCCCGACUUACCAACCCGAUGCAAACUGCGAAUACCGGAGAAUGUUAUCACGGGAGACACACGGCGGGUGCUAACGUCCGUCGUGAAGAGGGAAACAACCCAGACCGCCAGCUAAGGUCCCAAAGUCAUGGUUAAGUGGGAAACGAUGUGGGAAGGCCCAGACAGCCAGGAUGUUGGCUUAGAAGCAGCCAUCAUUUAAAGAAAGCGUAAUAGCUCACUGGUCGAGUCGGCCUGCGCGGAAGAUGUAACGGGGCUAAACCAUGCACCGAAGCUGCGGCAGCGACGCUGAUGCGUUGUUGGGUAGGGGAGCGUUCUGUAAGCCUGUGAAGGUGUGCUGUGAGGCAUGCUGGAGGUAUCAGAAGUGCGAAUGCUGACAUAAGUAACGAUAAAGCGGGUGAAAAGCCCGCUCGCCGGAAGACCAAGGGUUCCUGUCCAACGUUAAUCGGGGCAGGGUGAGUCGACCCCUAAGGCGAGGCCGAAAGGCGUAGUCGAUGGGAAACAGGUUAAUAUUCCUGUACUUGGUGUUACUGCGAAGGGGGGACGGAGAAGGCUAUGUUGGCCGGGCGACGGUUGUCCCGGUUUAAGCGUGUAGGCUGGUUUUCCAGGCAAAUCCGGAAAAUCAAGGCUGAGGCGUGAUGACGAGGCACUACGGUGCUGAAGCAACAAAUGCCCUGCUUCCAGGAAAAGCCUCUAAGCAUCAGGUAACAUCAAAUCGUACCCCAAACCGACACAGGUGGUCAGGUAGAGAAUACCAAGGCGCUUGAGAGAACUCGGGUGAAGGAACUAGGCAAAAUGGUGCCGUAACUUCGGGAGAAGGCACGCUGAUAUGUAGGUGAAGCGACUUGCUCGUGGAGCUGAAAUCAGUCGAAGAUACCAGCUGGCUGCAACUGUUUAUUAAAAACACAGCACUGUGCAAACACGAAAGUGGACGUAUACGGUGUGACGCCUGCCCGGUGCCGGAAGGUUAAUUGAUGGGGUCAGCGCAAGCGAAGCUCUUGAUCGAAGCCCCGGUAAACGGCGGCCGUAACUAUAACGGUCCUAAGGUAGCGAAAUUCCUUGUCGGGUAAGUUCCGACCUGCACGAAUGGCGUAAUGAUGGCCAGGCUGUCUCCACCCGAGACUCAGUGAAAUUGAACUCGCUGUGAAGAUGCAGUGUACCCGCGGCAAGACGGAAAGACCCCGUGAACCUUUACUAUAGCUUGACACUGAACAUUGAGCCUUGAUGUGUAGGAUAGGUGGGAGGCUUUGAAGUGUGGACGCCAGUCUGCAUGGAGCCGGCCUUGAAAUACCACCCUUUAAUGUUUGAUGUUCUAACGUUGACCCGUGAUCCGGGUUGCGGACAGUGUCUGGUGGGUAGUUUGACUGGGGCGGUCUCCUCCUAAAGAGUAACGGAGGAGCACGAAGGUUGGCUAAUCCUGGUCGGACAUCAGGAGGUUAGUGCAAUGGCAUAAGCCAGCUUGACUGCGAGCGUGACGGCGCGAGCAGGUGCGAAAGCAGGUCAUAGUGAUCCGGUGGUUCUGAAUGGAAGGGCCAUCGCUCAACGGAUAAAAGGUACUCCGGGGAUAACAGGCUGAUACCGCCCAAGAGUUCAUAUCGACGGCGGUGUUUGGCACCUCGAUGUCGGCUCAUCACAUCCUGGGGCUGAAGUAGGUCCCAAGGGUAUGGCUGUUCGCCAUUUAAAGUGGUACGCGAGCUGGGUUUAGAACGUCGUGAGACAGUUCGGUCCCUA